GACGAACGCUGGCGGCGUGCUUAACACAUGCAAGUCGAACGGUGAGGCCCUUCGGGGUACACGAGUGGCGAACGGGUGAGUGACACGUGGGUGAUCUGCCCUGCACUUCGGGAUAAGCCUGGGAAACUGGGUCUAAUACCGGAUGGGACUCCGGACUGCAUGGUCUGGGGUGGAAAGCUUUUGCGGUGUGGGAUGGGCCCGCGGCCUAUCAGCUUGUUGGUGGGGUGAUGGCCUACCAAGGCGACGACGGGUAGCCGGCCUGAGAGGGUGACCGGCCACAUUGGGACUGAGAUACGGCCCAGACUCCUACGGGAGGCAGCAGUGGGGAAUAUUGCACAAUGGGCGCAAGCCCGAUGCAGCGACGCCGCGUGAGGGAUGACGGCCUUCGGGUUGUAAACCUCUUUCAGCAUCGACGAAGCGAAAGUGACGGUAGGUGCAGAAGAAGGACCGGCCAACUACGUGCCAGCCGCCGCCGUAA
rnacentral:rRNA from 1 species